UGCGUUCGUGGUGUAAUGGUCAGCAUGGAUGCCUUCCAAGCAUUCGACGGGGGUUCGAUUCCCCCGAACGCAG
rnacentral:ncRNA from 14 species